rnacentral:sRNA from 1 species
AUGUAUGUAUAUACAUAAAUAUAUAUAUAUAUAUAUAUAAUAUACCUCACAUAUACAUAUGUGUAUACACUGAAAAGAAAAAAACAGAGACCAGUUUUCAUAAAAAGAGGCUAAACCUUGAUUCUGACUUCAUGGCUAGCUAGAAAUGGAACUGCUGGCAUGGAUGGAUGCUGGGAAGUGUUGGGAUUUGGAUUCUAUCACCGGCCAUCUGG